rnacentral:lncRNA from 1 species
UCAGUAACCGUAAGUAUAAAAGUAUGGAUUAUCAUUACAGUUCACCUAGUUCAAGUAAAGAAGAAUGUUUAUUCUUACUUGUUUAACUAUACAGGAAUAACUGUACAAGAUAUUCCUGCUGCUAAACUUCAUCAGCACAUGGAACUAGGAAGACGUUAAGAUGACUAUUGUAACUUCUAACAUAUUCUGAUAAUUACUGAAGCUCUGAUUCUCCUUAGCUACCUGUAUUUUAAAAUUGUAUAUUGUAUGAAUUACCAAAUUUGCCUUGUUGAUUAGUAGACAUAGACAUUUGUCUUGUGAUAUUUAGGGUUCAUUUUUUUAUGGAAAGAACAUAAACAUAGUUUUCUAAUUUGGAGAAAUCGGUCUUAAUGCAAGUAGGCAUUUUAAAAUUACAUUUAUGAAUUAUUUUUAGACCCUACAUAAUCUUUUUUAUUCUGCAAUGUUAAACAGUUUCUCUAGAAAAUCUGUUUUUGUUUCCUAGUGACUAUUAAACUAUUCUCUCCUACAACAGUAAUAUUUAUGCUAUAAAUUUAAAUCAUCAUUUUUGUUUUGAUUGAUUAUAAGAUAUAUGUUUUAUUAUCAUGUAGCCUAGUUUAAGAGUCCUCAAUAUUUCUGAAGUUUUAGUGAUUCUGCUGAGAGAGAGCAUAGAAAAAAAUAAGAAAAAAAAAAACCAACCUAGUAUCUGUUGUUCAGUAGAUUGUAGGUACUUCUGUUUAUAGAAAUAAUAAGGGGAAAAUGGGUAUUUUAGAAUGAGGAUACUUUUGUGUUGUACCUCUUGCUUCUCUUUUAUUUGAAUAAUAAAGGAAAUAACAUCAAAUUAAUGUUUAGCCUACUUUAGUAUGGAUAUUGAAGUUAAAAUGUCAUUCAUUUGCAUUUAUUUAGGAAAAGAAGAUAUGCUUCUUAAACAAGGUCAGAUGUAUAUGGCAGACUCACAGUGUACUUCCCCAGGUAUACCAGCCCAUAUGCAAAGCAGAUCUAUGUUAAGACCUCUGGAACUAUCUUUACCCAGUCAAACGUCAUACUCUGAAAAUGAAAUUUUAAAGAAAGAGUUAGAAGCAAUGCGAACUUUCUGUGAGUCAGCAAAACAAGACCGACUGAAGCUCCAAAAUGAACUGGCACACAAAGUGGCAGAAUGCAAAGCUUUAGCAUUAGAAUGUGAAAGGGUCAAGGAGGAUUCAGAUGAACAGAUAAAGCAAUUAGAAGAUGCAUUAAAAGAUGUGCAGAAGAGGAUGUAUGAGUCAGAAGGUAAAGUUAAACAAAUGCAGACCCAUUUUCUUGCCCUUAAAGAACACUUAACAAGUGAA